CCAGUUGACCGGGUGACCGCUGGCAGUGGGGUAACCUGCUGCUGGAGGAAAGUCCGGGCUCCAUCGAAACACGGUGCCGGGUAACGCCCGGCGAGGGCGACCUCAGGGAAAGUGCCACAGAAAGUAAACCGCUCCGGCAUGCCGGAGUAAGGGUGAAAGGGUGCGGUAAGAGCGCACCGGGUGCCUGGCAACAGGGACCGCACGGUAAACCCCACCGGGAGCAAGACCAAAUAGGGAUGACGCGGGGCUUCGGCCCCAGCCGGUUUUGAGGCCAGAUCAUCCGGGUUGGUUGCAUGAAGGCGUCAGCAAUGGCGUCUCAAGAUGAAUGGUCACCACGUGCGCAUCGCAAGAUGCGCGCCCUACAGAACCCGGCUUACAGGUCAACUGGCUGU
rnacentral:RNase_P_RNA from 1 species